UCCCUGGUGGCUCACAGUAAAGCGUCUGCCUGCAAUGCGGGAGACCUGGGUUCAAUCCCUGGUUUGGGAA
rnacentral:tRNA from 1 species